UGGGGAAUAUUGGACAAUGGGCGAAAGCCUGAUCCAGCCAUGCCGCGUGUGUGAAGAAGGCCUUAGGGUUGUAAAGUUCUUUCGGUAUUGAGGAAGGUUGAUGUGUUAAUAGCACAUCAAAUUGACGUUAAAUACAGAAGAAGCACCGGCUAACUCCGUGCCAGCAGCCGCGGUAAUACGGAGGGUGCGAGCGUUAAUCGGAAUAACUGGGCGUAAAGGGCACGCAGGCGGUUAUUUAAGUGAGGUGUGAAAGCCCCGGGCUUAACCUGGGAAUUGCAUUUCAGACUGGGUAACUAGAGUACUUUAGGGAGGGGUAGAAUUCCACGUGUAGCGGUGAAAUGCGUAGAGAUGUGGAGGAAUACCGAAGGCGAAGGCAGCCCCUUGGGAAUGUACUGACGCUCAUGUGCGAAAGCGUGGGGAGCAAACAGGAUUAGAUACCCUGGUAGUCCACGCUGUAAACGCUGUCGAUUUGGGGGUUGGGGUUUAACUCUGGCGCCCGUAGCUAACGUGAUAAAUCGACCGCCUGGGGAGUACGGCCGCAAGGUUA
rnacentral:rRNA from 1 species